rnacentral:sRNA from 1 species
GUGAAGGGCAGCAGCAGGCAGAAGCUGGAUCAGAGAACCUUCACGGAGCAGGUGCGUGAGUGCAAGGACAAUGGCUACCUGCUCUCCUCCAAGAAGAUCAGUUCUGGGGCCUUCUCCAAGGUGCCACCCACGAGUGCAUGCACCACAACCCCAAGCUGUCCUCCCACCUGCAGGGCAAGCGCCAUGAUAGCUAUCACGAUGGUCUCUACAACCGAGGCCCCGGUGGAGUUCUCCCGCAAGCUCCUACCCCGUGGGAUCUCUGUCACUCAACGCUACCUACAAGCACCUGAACAUGUGCAGCUGUAUGAGACCUAUCAGAGCAGCUGGCUCGUGCUGGAGCUGGUGCCCUGGGGUGACCUGCUGGAGCACAUCCAGGCUGCACUGGAUCACCUCUGCCGCCCAGGGCUGGAGGAGAAGGAAGCCCUCGGACUCUUCUGGCAGCCAGUUAGUGCCACGGCACACUGCCACAGUGUGGGCAUCGUGCACCAGGACCUGAAGUGCGAGAACAUCCUGCUGGACAACCAUGGCCUUCUCAAGCUGACCGACUUUGGCUUCGCAGGCUGCAUAGGGCCCAGGAACUCACCGCUCAGCACUUUCGGCGGCUCCCCAGCCUACAGAGAUCCUCAUGAGCAGCAAGUAUAGCGGGGAGUGGGCCGACCUGUGGAGUCUGAGUGCCCCCAGGGCCCACGGGAGGGCUGGGGAAGGGCCACACCCUUAGGAGCUCGUGCCCCCAGAGGUCUCACCUUCUAUGCCAUGGUGAGUGGGAAGCUGCCCUUCAAGGAGCGCCAGCCCCACUGCAUGCUGCACCUCAUGCACCGCGGUCCCACCUUCUGGCCAGGUCUGUUCCCAGUGCCAGGACUUGAUUCGGGGGCUGCUGCAGCUGCACCCAAACGCAUGCCUGGGCCUGCAGCAGGUGGCUGCACACUGCUGGAUGCUGCCUGCAGCGAACACGCUC